CUCCCUGCACUAGCUCGGCCAUACCCCUGGCUCCGCCUGAACAUGCCAGUGUAUCCAUUAGCUCCUCCUCUUCCUCUCCUGUGGCUCUUCCCUCAAGUCCAGAGCCCAAAAUUGACUCCAGCAGCUUCUGGAAAAGCUGUAAUGCAGCAGGAUGUACAGAGGCCAUCUUCACUGACUUCCUUGAUGGCAUGAAAAAUAUCUCCAGCAAAAUCCAAUCAGAUCAGGCCAGCCAGGAGGAAUAUGAUCUUGCAUUGUCGGUGAUGGCAGCUUCUGGAAAAUUGUCAGAAUUUGUGGCUAAGCAGCAGGAAGAGCUACAGAAGAAACAAAUGGAACUGCAGAAGGCGGCGGCAGCGAUGAAAGAUGUUGUCUCAGCACUGAGAAAAUGAGCUGAUGAGCAGCUACUGAGUGUUAGCUAUUAAAGCUAGGUUUUUUUGUCUGUGAUUACAUUUUUAACAUUUUAUAAAAAAAAUAUAUAUAUUUAUACUUUUAUAUGGAA